rnacentral:rRNA from 1 species
GAUGAACGCUGGCGGCGUGCCUAAUACAUGCAAGUCGAGCGAACAGACGAGGAGCUUGCUCCUCUGACGUUAGCGGCGGACGGGUGAGUAACACGUGGAUAACCUACCUAUAAGACUGGGAUAACUUCGGGAAACCGGAGCUAAUACCGGAUAAUAUAUUGAACCGCAUGGUUCAAUAGUUAAAGACGGUUUUGCUGUCACUUAUAGAUGGAUCCGCGCCGCAUUAGCUAGUUGGUAAGGUAACGGCUUACCAAGGCAACGAUGCGUAGCCGACCUGAGAGGAUGAUCGGCCACACUGGAACUGAGACACGGUCCAGACUCCUACGGGAGGCAGCAGUAGGGAAUAUUCCGCAAUGGGCGAAAGCCUGACGGAGCAACGCCGCGUGAGUGAUGAAGGUCUUCGGAUCGUAAAACUCUGUUAUUAGGGAAGAACAAAAGUGUAAGUAAAUAUGCACGUCUUGACGGUACCUAAUCAGAAAGCCACGGCUAACUACGUG